rnacentral:rRNA from 1 species
CCUACGGGAGACAGCAGUGAGGAAUAUUGGUCAAUGGGCGGGAGCCUGAACCAGCCAAGUCGCGUGAAGGAAGAAGGUACUUAGUAUUGUAAACUUCUUUUGUAGGGGAACAAAGGCGGAGACGCGUCUCCGGAUGAGUGUACCCGAACAAAAAGCAUCGGCUAACUCCGUGCCAGCAGCCGCGGUAAUACGGGGGAUGCGAGCGUUAUCCGGAUUUGUUGGGUGUAGAGGGUGCGCAGGGGGGAGAUCAAGGCAGCGGUAAAAUGUCGGGGCUCAACCCCGGCCGGCCGUUGAAACUGGUUUUCUAGAGUUGGAGAGAGGUAUGCGGAAUUCGUGGUGUAGCGGUGAAAGGCAUAGAUAUCACGAAGAACCCCGAUUGCGAAGGCAGCAUACCGGCUCCAUACUGACGCUGAGGCACGAAAGCGUGGGGAUCGAACAGGAUUAGAGACCCUAGUAGUC